rnacentral:rRNA from 1 species
UAGGGAAUCUUCCACAAUGGACGCAAGUCUGAUGGAGCAACGCCGCGUGAGUGAAGAAGGUUUUCGGAUCGUAAAGCUCUGUUGUUGGUGAAGAAGGAUAGAGGCAGUAACCGGUCUUUAUUUGACGGUAAUCAACCAGAAAGUCACGGCUAACUACGUGCCAGCAGCCGCGGUAAUACGUAGGUGGCAAGCGUUGUCCGGAUUUAUUGGGCGUAAAGCGAGCGCAGGCGGAAUGAUAAGUCUGAUGUGAAAGCCCACGGCUCAACCGUGGAACUGCAUCGGAAACUGUCAUUCUUGAGUGCAGAAGAGGAGAGUGGAACUCCAUGUGUAGCGGUGGAAUGCGUAGAUAUAUGGAAGAACACCAGUGGCGAAGGCGGCUCUCUGGUCUGCAACUGACGCUGAGGCUCGAAAGCAUGGGUAGCGAACAGGAUUAGAU